CAGCAAUACAACUGGUAUAUGAGCUCUCUGACCAGUUCGGACAUGGGAAUUUGCUAAAUAUUGGGCAGGAAUGGGAAAUAGCAAGCAUCUGAGGUGACCUGGUUUCCUGGGCUCUGGAAAACGUGGCAGCUUCCAGAAGGUGAGAGGGGCUGAAUCUCUGAGGCAAAUUUCUGGUGAUUAAUUGUAAUCUAAGGGAUCUCCUUAAAGGAUUCCAAGAUGCCAGAUUUCCC